rnacentral:rRNA from 1 species
GACGAACGCUGGCGGCGUGCCUAAUACAUGCAAGUAGAACGCUGAAGCUUGGUGCUUGCACCGAGCGGAUGAGUUGCGAACGGGUGAGUAACGCGUAGGUAACCUGCCUGGUAGCGGGGGAUAACUAUUGGAAACGAUAGCUAAUACCGCAUAAGAGUAGAUGUUGCAUGACAUUUGCUUAAAAGGUGCAAUUGCCUCACUACCAGAUGGACCUGCGUUGUAUUAGCUAGUUGGUGAGGUAACGGCUCACCAAGGCAACGAUACAUAGCCGACCUGAGAGGGUGAACGGCCACACUGGGACUGAGACACGGCCCAGGAUCCUACGGGAGGCAGCAGUAGGGAAUCUUCGGCAAUGGACGGAAGUCUGACCGAGCAACGCCGCGUGAGUGAAGAAGGUUUUCGGAUCGGAAAGCUCUGUUGUAAGAGAAGAACGAGUGUGAGAGUGGAAAGUUCACACUGUGACGGUAUCUUACCAGAAAGGGACGGCUAACUACGUG